rnacentral:lncRNA from 1 species
AAAUAAUAAAAGAAUCAAGUGAAUAAUUUUUACCUCAAGGAUAAUUUUUUCAAGAAAUGAAGAGUUUGAGUGUUGUCAAGGCUCACAAAUAGUAUAUAUGGAUGUCAUAGAAAGGCGACAAGGCCUUAGUUUAAUCCUCUUACCUACAUCCAAAGUGCUACAAUACAUAUGAGACUUAAGUACAUCCUUUCUUACAAGGACUACACU